GUGUUCACUUCAGCAGCAGAUAUACUAAAUGGAAUGAUACAGAGAAGAUUAGCAUGGCCCCUGCACAAGGAUGUCAUGCAAAUCUGUGAAGCAUUUCAUAUGUUU
rnacentral:snRNA from 1 species